rnacentral:tRNA from 2 species
GGGACCAUAGCUCAGUUGGUUAGAGCAGUCGUCUUAUACACGACCGGUCGAUGGUUCGACUCCAUCUGGUCCCACCA